rnacentral:rRNA from 1 species
GACGAACGCUGGCGGCGUGCUUAACACAUGCAAGUCGAGCGAGGAGCUUUGCUCCUAGCGGCGAACGGGUGAGUAACACGUGGGCAACCUGCCCCGAGCUCUGGGAUAACUCCGGGAAACCGGAGCUAAUACCGGAUAUGACUUCGAUAGGCAUCUUUCGAAGUGUAAAGAUUUAUCGGCUCGGGAUGGGCCCGCGGCCUAUCAGCUUGUUGGUGGGGUAACGGCCUACCAAGGCGASGACGGGUAGCCGGCCUGAGAGGGCGACCGGCCACACUGGGACUGAGACACGGCCCAGACUCCUACGGGAGGCAGCAGUGGGGAAURUUGYGCAAUGGGCGAAAGGGGGACGCAGYGACGCCGCGUGAGGGAUGAAGGCCUUCGGGUAGUAAACCUCUUUCAGCA